GCCUCAAAUCCUAAAUUCCCAAAUUCUCCACGCCCUCUCAUUCUUCUCCUCUGUUCGAAGGCCAGAACCGCCGUCCCGUCGUCCCCCUCGAUCCCGCGCCCUCCUGUCGUCCUCCUCGACAUCUUCGUCCCGUCGUCCUCCUCGACAUUUCGUCGUCGCCUCCCCCUCAGCUCCUCGACAUCCUCCUCAGACAUCGUCGUCCCGUCGUCGCCUCCCCCUAAGCCCUUCAGCUCCUCGCCGUCCCGUUGUCCUCCUCGACAUUUCGUCGUCAUCCUCCUUUGACAUCGCCAUCCCGUCAUCGUCUCUCCCCUCACCUCAUGCCCGAGCCCUCCCUCUCCUCUGGUAUCGCAGCCCAUCCUCGCCGAUACGAGAGGGAAGCACCGAAUCUUAGCGGAGCUCAAGAGGUUUGAACAAGAAGCUCGAUUCUUGGAGGUGGUAGCUCAUGAGCUCGCUCAUAGCUGGACGGGAAACCAUAUUACAAACAAGACUAAUGAGUAUUUCUAGCUCAAUGAGGUCGAAAUGAUGCACAAAGCUGGUCUCAUUCAAGGGGGAUCACUGGAAAAUGCAAUGGUUUGCAGAGCAGCGGUGAUUCUGGUGCUAAUGUGAAGCGCCUUGAACAAGAAACUGAGAGCAAAAUCCUCCAGCUGAAGGAACAAUCAUCACGUGUCUCUCGCGAUGUGGGUGAUAUGCUCUUGAGGCAGGUCACAACCGUAAAGAAUUAGCUUUCAGCGUGUUUAUGGCUGUGAAGGAAUAUUCAAUAUAUUUAUGAAUAUAUGUAUGUGUUGUGAGGAAAUCUCUCCCCAGAUCUUAUAAUCUUUUUUUUUUAUAGACUCGGAGUCUGUGGAAAUAAGGAGCCUAGGACUCUUAUAAUUCCUAAAUUGUCUUUGUUGACUGCAAUUGUUC